rnacentral:lncRNA from 1 species
CAAGUUCACCCAACCCUUGAUGUGAAUUGUAUGAGUUAUGAUGCAUUUCAUAUGAGCAUGUUUGUUAACAUGUUUUUAUGGUUCUACUCACUGGGCUUGUUAGCUCACCCCUCUCCCUUAACCCCCAGGUUUGCAGGUACAGGAUAGAGCAGGAGAUCGGAUAGAGUAACGUCUUAGUCAUGUAAUAGCUAGUAGUGGACAUGAUGG